AGGGGGUUCGCGGGUCUAAAUCAUUUGUAUAGGAUUUCUCUAUAUUUUUCUAUAAAUGAACUUUAUCUUAUAGUUAAUAGAAAAAUAAAAUAAAAAAGUAGGGUCACCGUUCAUUUGCGCUCACAAUCUGCCUUCGAAAGAAGCAUACAUUUGUGUAAAGGCGGUUUUUUUUCUGUUGAAGUAAUAGGAGAAAUAAAGGUAAUAUCGAAAGAUAAAUAAGAAAUUUAUUACAGAAAUCGCUAAAAUUUUACAAUAAUUUAGUUUAAGUACAGAUUAUAUGGAAAUUAUAUUAAAAAAGAUAGGUCACCGAUGAGUUGAAAAAGAUAUUUCAAUUUUAGAGCCAAAAAAUGGCAUUUUUCCACCAAAGGGAGAUAAUUUGGAACUUUUUCAAUGAUGUAUACAUUUUGAAAGUCAUCUGGGGCCAACACGAAUUGAUUGUUUUGAAUGAUUUUUGUACCAUAUGAUAAAGUAACAACUACAAAAGGAAAUAAAUAAAAUUUGUAAUGAAAAACAAAUGUUUGAUUUUUUUCUGAAAUUUUUAUACCCUCGAGCCUCCUUAAAUACAUUACAAAAAAUUUUCAUU
rnacentral:lncRNA from 1 species